rnacentral:rRNA from 1 species
AUGUGCCAUACCGAAAUACAGUGCACGGCAGCAGGGGCGAAGCACCCCAGUCAUGGCACGGGCGUAGUAAUGAGUAAUGAGGCGUCAAAUCACAAAGCUGCACCUUUCCCGCGGUUAAGUUGGAGGGACGAAGUAGUAAUGCUAAAAAAAGAAGUUGGAGGGAUGAAGCAACCAUCAUUUCACUCGUUGCUGAAUCCGCCUCUCCCUCAUCUUCUUCAAGUUAACCAUGUGUUGCUUCUAUCGUUGUUCUGCCUCAUGUGGGACGCGGAUUGGCUUGGUAAAGCACUGACAUGUGGGACAACAUGUUAG